ACUGCGAUUGCUGAUUUGAGAGGUCUCGGUUGCGACGACCAGACGCGUGCAUUCCGCCGUUGGAGCUAGUACUAUGGCAUUGGACCCCUCAUUUGUAGAAAUCUCGCAGGCGUAAGAAUAGCCAUCAGGACGAGUAGGCUCUGGGUCGCGCCGGACGUGAAGCCGCAGUGGCCUGCCUCUGUCUCGUAUCUGCUGCUGCCUGCCCCACCACACUGUUGCUCCCCGCGCUGCAGGACUUGGUCCCUACUUGUAGCACCCGCCGGCGGACGCUCUCCUAAACUUUGGUUUUCCCGGAUGCUGUUUGCCUCGUCCCUCCGUGGCCUUCCUUCUCAGGCUCUAGAUUCAGUGUUGGACUUCACUUCCCAGAAGAUGGCUCUGAAUUUCUGCAAGCUGCUGAGGCACAACGUCUCAUAACGACGAUCUGCCUCACCCUAGAGGCCAACAGCACCACUAAAAUUGAGGACACUAUGACACCGUGGAGCUUAACAGACAUUCAGGCAGUGCAGGACAACUUAUUGCAUGCCAGAGGGUCUCACAGUGCAGUUUGGGCUGGCCUUGUGUUCACUUUUGUAGUCCCCAGGCUGAUCUCAAAACUCACGAGAGAUCUUGCUGGCUCAAGCUCCUGAGUGCUGGGAUUACAGGUGUGUGCCACCACACCCCGUUCCAGGGCUGCCCAGUGGGUGCCUGCAUCCUGGGCUGAGACCACAUGGCAUGUGGGGCUGGGGACCACUCGAGUACCUGUGCUUGCCACCUCUGAGCUCUCUCUGGCCCCUACCCAAUGUUUUCUGUUUUAGUUAUUUUGUUCAGUGUUGCCAAGGUUAGGUUCUUCAGGAAGCAGAGUCUGACAGGUUAAUAUGUGGUGCUUACCAGGGGUCAGCACUGUGGAGAGGACAGGAAGGAAACAGUGGGCACCUGGAAGAAUGGAGCUGAGAUGCAGGACUGAUGACAGCUCAGCC